rnacentral:rRNA from 1 species
UACGGGGGGUGCAAGCGUUGUUCGGAAUUAUUGGGCGUAAAGCGCGUGUAGGCGGUUUGUUAAGUCUGUUGUGAAAGCCCUGGGCUCAACCCAGGAAGUGCACUGGAUACUGGCAGACUUGAAUACGGGAGAGGGUAGUGGAAUUCCUGGUGUAGGAGUGAAAUCCGUAGAUAUCAGGAGGAACACCAGUGGCGAAGGCGGCUCACUGGCCCGAUACUGACGCUGAGGUGCGAAAGCCAGGGAGCAAAGCGGGAU